UGGUUCCGGCAUCGAUGAAGAACGCAGCGAAAUGCGAUAAGUAAUGUGAAUUGCAGAAUUCAGUGAAUCAUCGAAUCUUUGAACGCACAUUGCGCCCCUUGGUAUCCCGAGGGGCAUGCCUGUUCGAGCGUCAUUUAGGACCUCAAGCUCUGCUUGGUCUUGGGCACGGUCUGACCGACCGGCCUGUAACUGUUAGCGGCGACCGUUGGUCCCCGGGCGUAGCAAAACUAUUCGCCUCUGGGUCCUGCGGGUAGCUGUCUUAAGACUGGCCUCUGGCCACCAAAGUUUGACCUCGGAUCAGGUAGGGAUACCCGCUGA
rnacentral:misc_RNA from 1 species